AAUCAACGCUGGCGGCGUGCCUCAGACAUACAAGUCGAACGCGAAAGUUUCCUUCGGGGAACAAGUAGAGUGGCGCACGGGUGAGUAACACGUAGGUAAUCUACCUUUGGAUGGGGAAUAACAACCGGAAACGGUUGCUAAUACCGCAUAAUGCAGCGGCACCUAAUGGUGACAGUUGUUAAAGCGGGGGAUCGAAAGACCUCGCGUCUAAAGAGGAGCCUGCGGCGGAUUAGCUAGUUGGUAAGGAACGGCUUACCAAGGCCACGAUCCGUAACCGGCCUGAGAGGGCGGUCGGUCACACUGACACUGACAUACGGGUCAGACUCCUACGGGAGGCAGC
rnacentral:rRNA from 1 species